UGGGGAAUAUUGCACAAUGGGCGAAAGCCUGAUGCAGCAACGCCGCGUGAGCGAUGAAGGCCUUUGGGUCGUAAAGCUCUGUCCUUGGGGAAGAAAAAAAUGACGGUACCCUUGGAGGAAGCCCCGGCUAACUACGUGCCAGCAGCCGCGGUAAUACGUAGGGGGCAAGCGUUAUCCGGAAUUAUUGGGCGUAAAGAGUGCGUAGGUGGUUUUGUAAGCGCGGGGUGAGAGGCAAUGGCUCAACUAUUGUAAGCCCUGCGAACUGUGAGACUUGAGUGCAGGAGAGGAAAGCGGAAUUCCUAGUGUAGCGGUGAAAUGCGUAGAUAUUAGGAGGAACACCAGUGGCGAAGGCGGCUUUCUGAACUGUAACUGACACUGAGGCACGAAAGCGUGGGGAGCAAACA
rnacentral:rRNA from 1 species